AGGAUAAACGCUGGCGGCGUGCCUUACGCAUGCAAGUCGAACGGUGUCCUUCGGGGCACAGUGGCGGACGGGUGAGUAACACGUACGUAACCUGCCGAUUUGUGGGGAUACCGGUCCGAAAGGGUCGCUAAUACCGCAUACGUUCGCCCCGCGAGGGGUGAGGAAAGGGCUUCGGCCCGCAGAUUGAGGGGCGUGCGGCCGAUUAGCUUGUUGGUGGGGUAACGGCCUACCAAGGCGAUGAUCGGUAGCUGGGCUGAGAGGCCGAGCAGCCACACUGGGACUGAGACACGGCCCAGACUCCUACGGGAGGCAGCAGCGAGGAAUUUGCGCAAUGGGCGAAAGCCUGACGCAGCAACGCCGCGUGGGUGAGGAAGGCCUUCGGGUCGUAAAGCCCCUUUUGUCGGGGGACGAAUACUGACGGUACCCGACGAAGAAGCCACGGCUAACUACGCGCCAGCAGCCGC
rnacentral:rRNA from 1 species